UCGGAUUGCAGCCUGCAACUCGGCUGCAUGAAGCUGGAAUCGCUAGUAAUCGCGGAUCAGAAUGCCGCGGUGAAUACGUUCCCGGGUCUUGUACACACCGCCCGUCACACCAUGGGAGUAGGUAAUGCCCGAAGUCGGUGACCUAACCGGAAGGAAGGAGCCGCCGAAGGCAGGACUUAUAACUGGGGUGAAGUCGUAACAAGGUAAC
rnacentral:rRNA from 1 species